UACAGAGGUCCCAAGCGUUGUUCGGAUUCACUGGGCGUAAAGGGUGCGUAGGUGGUUAGGUAAGUCUGAUGUGAAAUCUCCGAGCUCAACUCGGAAACUGCAUCGGAUACUAUCUAGCUUGAGGGUUGGAGGGGGGACUGGAAUACUUGGUGUAGCAGUGAAAUGCGUAGAUAUCAAGUGGAACACCAGUGGCGAAGGCGAGUCCCUGGACAACUCCUGACACUGAGGCACGAAAGCUAGGGGAGCAAACGGG
rnacentral:rRNA from 1 species